rnacentral:tRNA from 1 species
UCGCAGGUGGGUGGCAUGGUGUCACUUUUGGUUCAUAUCCAAAACAAGAAUGGUUCGAUUCCAUUACCUGUAAU